UAUGUAAUAAGAAAAUAAACACGUAUAUAUUUGUUUGUGUGUAUAUAUAUCGCUAAGCAAUAUAAUGAUGUCUAGAUAAAAUAUAUAUAUAAACAUUUAUAUUCAACUACUGUAAACAAAUAUCGGUAUAUUAUAUAUAUGUGUAUGUAAAUAAAAUAAUUUUUUUAAAAAAAUACAAAUAAAAUAAAUUAAUUUGAAUAGUUUGCCGCUGGAAAUGAUUAGCACUCAGGGCAGAUUGGUUGCCUUUGAUUUGACACAACUCACCGUUGCAAGUUGUCGCCAGGAUCGAGCCACAUGGUGAGCUGCUGUGAUGACCUGCUAGGUGUCAUGAAACUAGCGAUCUUUGCCAGUUGUGGUCGGCCAUCCAACAUAUCAACGGCUGUGAUGCCGUGCAUGCGUUUGGACAGUCGGAUGAUGAGUUAAAUUCAGUUAAAAGCUUCCUUCUCUUCACAACUUUGUCUUCAUCUUCUUCAAACCCAAAAUUCCAAUUAAACAAGUGAGUGAGUGGAGAAGUUUAGAGAAAAAAAAGUAGAAAGAGAGGGAGAGAGUGACAAACAAGAAUAGAAUGCGUGUUUUAUGUGCGUAUCAGAAGAUAAAUCGCUUUUUUUUUUAUUAGGUGAGUCAUUUCUUUCUCUUUUAAUUUGUUUUUUUUUUAUUUCUUUGGUAUGCUAAGACCAUUUCUAUUUAAAAGAUUAGCUCUUAAAUUGUUGCUACAAGUCACAUAACUAAGAAUAGUAGCUACUGCACCUGAACAACAACUCUGUUCAGGUAGGUGUCUAUUUUUUAUUCCAAUUUUUUUUCUAUUUCAUUUUUAUUUUAAAAAUUUAAUCAUUAGGAAAAUGUGUUAGGAAUGUUAAAAUUUAUUUUUCAGUACUAAAACAAAUCAUAAAUCCGAAUUUAACCUAAAAACAUCAGUUAACUCUACAUGCACAGUAACAUUGAUUUAGAGAGAAGAAUCUUCAAAUUUUUAAUAAUUCCUUCAUGUGAUUUAACUUUUGUCUUAUGCAUUUAUUAGGUAAGAUGAGUGAUAUUUUAACAAAUCUACGCGUGAAGCUACUAACACUAUUUUCAUAGAGAAUACAAGUUAUCAAUUAGCUAAAAGCGGAAGCACAAUCAAUUAGUAACAAUAAAGAUAUGAAUAAAUACAUAUAAUUCACUCAAUACUCUCUGAUCGUCAUCAAUUAGAUAUCACUCUAAUUGCCAUCAUCCAUAUCCUUGAGCCCUAGGACCAUGAAGAGUAAUCAGUUCAGAGUCCUCAAACCAUUGAACCUGAUUCCAAACUAGAACCCAAUAUCACAACCAAAGCUUAAUGGCUGCCUUAUUAAACUCAAUAUCCAUCCAAGAAAAUUAGUGAAUUGAAUUUAACUGGACAUUGUUUUAUUUGUGUUUUAGACCCUUUAAUAAUUUCUUAAAUUUAAUAUAUCUAAUUUUUAUUUCUAUUUAUUUUACUAAUAUGUAAAAUUCUUAUAAUUUAAUUACUUCAAUUGUUAUUUAGAUUAUUUGUUUUACUUAGACUUUUAUUAUAGUUAAUUACGUUAUUUUGUUUAUUAAAUUUUUAAUUCUAUUCCUUUUUAAUUAAUUUAAAUAUUUAUUUUAUCUUAAUUUAAAUUUUACUUAAGUUUUAUUUUUGUUUUUAUUUUUAUUUUUAUUUUAAUACCACCAUCACAAUUACCUUACCCAAUUCCAUCUCAUAUUACACUUAACCAUUUUCCAAUUUAACUUUUACAAAUUUCCAUUUUUUCUCCAUUUUUAUUAAUUUUUCUUUCUUGGUUCCUCCCAAAGACCCCAACCUCUCCAACUCUCUAGCGUAUGUGAAAGUCCCAUUGCUGGGUCCGUGGUCCAGUGGGCUUCCAUAAAGGCCCCUUGGCAUGAUUUCUUGCUUGUUGGGCCAGCAUGACCCGCUGGUCUAUUGCACAAGCAACUGGCCCAUGGGAAACAAACUGUGUGCAGUUGCACACUACCAGGUUUCCAUCUCUGGCAUUCACAAAUGCUCGGAUCAUAUCUACAUGCUCUGACUUGGCAUAUGCAUUUCUACAUCAUGUCAAAGAUGUCCCAAGCCAUUCUAGGUGCCUAGAAAAAAGUCUCUUCUACUAACCAGUACUGUAGAAUAGAGUUGCAUAAUCUCAGGACAAUUUGGUCCUUGAUGUUCUAAAUAGAAAUAGAUGAGCUUAUGUGUUGUCCUUUUCUUCCUAGUUUUGCUAAUUCAUCAUUUAAUUGCUAUUAAAUCAAUAUAAUAAUUAAAUGUUAAAGCUCAUAAAAUUAGUAAAUAAAAAUCACAACAAAAAUGCAAAUGACACUCACUCACUGUAUCUAUAUAAAACACCACUUAAUUUUGAUUUUUGAAAAAGUUUACCAUAUACAAAUUAAUCUAUGAAGGUCAUUCUUUUGUAUAACCGAAAAUGUCACUCAUAUUACUUGAUAAAUGCAGGAGACAGAAGCUAAAUUGCACGAAGAAAUUGUUGAAAAUUUGAAUGUUUUUCUCUGUAACUAAGUGUGACUGUGCAUGCAGAGUUGAGUAAUAUUUUAAGGUUAGAUUCGGGUUUGUGAUUUGUUUUACUCUUUAAAAUAAAUUCUAACAUUCAUAACAUGUUGUCUUAAUGAUUGAUUACAAAUUUCUAAAAGAAAAAUAAAACAUAAAAGGAAUUGGAAUGGAGAACAGAUGUUUACCUGAAAAGAGGGGUCGUUCAGGUGAAGUAGCUACUGUUUUGAGUUCUAAGACUUGCAACAACAAUUUAAGAACUAAUCUUCCAAAUAUAAAUGGUCUCAAN
rnacentral:lncRNA from 1 species